rnacentral:rRNA from 2 species
GACGGGUGAGUAACACGUGGGCAACCUGCCUGUAAGACUGGGAUAACUCCGGGAAACCGGAGCUAAUACCGGAUAACAUUUUUUCUUGCAUAAGAGAAAAUUGAAGAUGGUUCGGCUAUCACUUACAGAUGGGCCCGCGGUGCAUAGCUAGUUGGUGAGGUAACGGCUCACCAAGGCAACGAUGCAUAGCCGACUGAGAGGGUGAUCGGCCACACUGGGACUGAGACACGGCCCAGACUCAUACGGGAGGCAGCAGUAGGGAAUCUUCCGCAAUGGACGAAAGUCUGACGGAGCAACGCCGCGUGAGUGAUGAAGGCUUUCGGGUCGUAAAACUCUGUUGUUAGGGAAGAACAAGUACAAGAGUAACUGCUUGUACCUUGACGGUACCUAACCAGAAAGCCACGGCUAACUACGUGCCAGCAGCCGCGGUAAUACGUAGGUGGCAAGCGUUAUCCGGAAUUAUUGGGCGUAAAGCGCGCGCAGGCGGUUUCUUAAGUCUGAUGUGAAAGCCCACGGCUCAACCGUGGAGGGUCAUUGGAAACUGGGGAACUUGAGUGCAGAAGAGAAAAGCGGAAUUCCACGUGUAGCGGUGAAAUGCGUAGAGAUGUGGAGGAACACCAGUGGCGAAGGCGGCUUUUUGGUCUGUAACUGACGCUGAGGCGCGAAAGCGUGGGGAGCAAACAGGAUUAGAUACCCUGGUAGUCCACGCCGUAACGAUGAGUGCUAAGUGUUAGAGGGUUUCCGCCCUUUAGUGCUGCAGCUAACGCAUUAAGCACUCCGCCUGGGGAGUACGGUCGCAAGACUGAAACUCAAGGAAUUGACGGGGGCCCGCACAAGCGGUGGAGCAUGUGGUUUAAUUCGAAGCAACGCGAGAACCUUACCAGGUCUUGACAUCCUCUGACAACUCUAGAGAUAGAGCGUUCCCCUUCGGGGGACAGAGUGACAGGUGGUGCAUGGUUGUCGUCAGCUCGUGUCGUGAGAUGUUGGGUUAAGUCCCGCAACGAGCGCAACCCUUGAUCUAGUUGCCAGCAUUAAGUUGGGCACUCUAAGGUGACUGCCGGUGACAACCGGAGAGGUGGGGAUGACGUCAAAUCAUCAUGCCCUUUAUGACCUGGGCUACA